rnacentral:rRNA from 1 species
GACGAACGCUGGCGGCGUGCUUAACACAUGCAAGUCGAACGGAAAGGCCCUGCUUUUGUGGGGUGCUCGAGUGGCGAACGGGUGAGUAACACGUGAGUAACCUGCCCUUGACUUUGGGAUAACUUCAGGAAACUGGGGCUAAUACCGGAUAGGAGCUCCUGCUGCAUGGUGGGGGUUGGAAAGUUUCGGCGGUUGGGGAUGGACUCGCGGCUUAUCAGCUUGUUGGUGGGGUAGUGGCUUACCAAGGCUUUGACGGGUAGCCGGCUUGAGAGGGUGACCGGCCACAUUGGGACUGAGAUACGGCCCAGACUCCUACGGGAGGCAGCAGUGGGGAAUAUUGCACAAUGGGCGGAAGCCUGAUGCAGCAACGCCGCGUGCGGGAGGACGGCCUUCGGGUUGUAAACCGCUUUCGCCUGUGACGAAGCGUGAGUGACGGUAAUGGGUAAAGAAGCACCGGCUAACUACGUG